rnacentral:rRNA from 1 species
UACGUAGGGGGCAAGCGUUCUCCGGAUUUACUGGGUGUAAAGGGAGCGCAGACGGGAAUGCAAGUCUGAUGUGAAAGCCCGGGGCCCAACCGCGGGACUGCAUCGGAUACUGCAUGCCUGGAGUGCCGGAGGGGCAAGCGGAAUUCCUGGUGUAGCGGUGAAAUGCGUAGAUAUCAGGAGGAACACCGGCGGCGAAGGCGGCUUGCUGGACGGCAACUGACGUUGAGGCUCGAAAGCGUGGGGAG